ACGACACUGGUGUGUGCUUUUUCUUUUUAACAUUCAUUUUGUAUAGGACCAGGACCCUCUCAUAACAACUUAUGAAGUUAGGUUCAUAAGGAGCCCUGGAGAAAGAACCAGUUAAUCUUGAGCCAGCUCAAAUUUGAAAAACUCCUCCUCAUUGGGGCUUCAACUUUUUUGUUCUCCUAAGUUACAGACUAGUUCUUCUCUUCCAAAAGCUGUCAUUCACAGCCAUAUGCAAAGUGAUUUAUAUACAUAUCUGAAUCUAACCAUCAAGUCAGUACUAGUCAGCAGUCUAUAAGGUAACUGCAUUUAGCUCCCUAAAACUG
rnacentral:lncRNA from 1 species